rnacentral:misc_RNA from 1 species
UACGGAGGGGGCUAGCGUUGUUCGGAAUUACUGGGCGUAAAGCGCACGUAGGCGGCUAUUCAAGUCAGAGGUGAAAGCCCGGGGCUCAACCCCGGAAUAGCCUUUGAAACUAGAUAGCUUGAAUCACGGAGAGGUGGGUGGAAUUCCGAGUGUAGAGGUGAAAUUCGUAGAUAUUCGGAAGAACACCAGUGGCGAAGGCGGCCCACUGGACGUGUAUUGACGCUGAGGUGCGAAAGCGUGGGGAGCAAACAGG